UUUAAGUUUACGACUAGGCGUGGUGGUAAUAGCGCAUCUUUCGUUUACGAAGCAUUGAAGUGAGUUUCAUGACCGCAGACGGUUGUAAAAGCUCUACGCCGCCAUGCCGAUUUCGCCUACGUGGUGCAAAUUCAUAGCGUUUCUGCGCGAGUCGCAGGAUAGGAAAGUCGUGCACACGCUCAGUGAAGCUCGCUUCGUUAACUUCGUCGCACGGUGUUAGUCGGUUGGGUUGUGGGGGCGGAGUCACCCUGUUGGCCUAAUGCGGUGGGGCCUGUUGGCUCAGGUGGUACCGUCCCUCAAAACCUUACUUCGUUUUGUUCGUGACGAAGUAUUUCUUAGUUAAUUAUAAGCGGUCGCAUUUGAUUACGCUAGUUUGUCAGUUGAGAAAGGUGCCAUAGAAAUGACUUAUUGCGUUCUAGGUGUGCUUCUAUACAAUGUAUUAUUUUUGUCGUAUCUACUUGCGAUAUGAACAGCACACGACGCAGGGUAAGGUUCUGCGCGAGUCGGAGGAUAGGAAAGUUGUGCACACACUCAGUGAAGCUCGCUUUGUGAACUUCGUCGCACGGUGUUAGUCGGUUGGGUUGUGGGGGUGGAGUCGCCCUGUUGGCCGAAUGCGGUGGGGCCUGUUGGCUCAGGUGAUACCGUCCCUCAGAACCUUACAUCGUUUUGUUCGUGACGAAUUAUUUCUUAGUUAAUUAUAAGCGGUCGCAUAUUUGAUUACGCUAGUUUCAGUUGGGAAAGGUGCCAUAGAAAUGACUUAUUGCGUUCUAGGUGUGCUUCUACAAUGUAUUUUUACAAAAAUUUUUACAAUGCUUCUACAAAAAUUUUAUUUUUUGCUUCCGAGCAGCGCCAGGAGCACCAUCGAUUUUUCUGUGUAAGAUAGAUUUAUGCCGCUCUCCUGCAAUUAUGCAUUAGUUAUGCAAAUGGGUUAAGGCGACAUGAACCAGGAACCAUGCUUGCGAUUCAGUUUUUAUGAGCAAAAAAUGUUGCCUAUUAUUUUAUGGUAAUGAAAAGAAAAAAUGACUCAUAUAUAGUACACAUGUAGUUACUGUGUAUUUUUGACCAUGGAAAAUAGACAUUUUAAUUGCAGAAAACUUUCAAAAUUAUCAAAACCAUUGAAAAACCUCGACACAUUGCUUCAAGAGGUGGACUGUAUUUCUCACCAUCUCCAGUCACUAACAAAGUUUCACUAAAUUUAAUGAUGCCAUCCGCCCUUAAUGUCUGUAAUGUAUUUGUAGACCAUCACAGACCAUUUAUAGACCUCUUGCCCAUGGUAAAACUUGCACUCAGAAAGAAUGGACACAGGUAGUUUAAAAACCUUGGUUUUACAUUCACUUUUGCUUUUCGACUUUGCCGUAAGCCCAGCAAUAACCUUCUUACUUUUAUUUGGAGGGUUGUUUGUUGCUUCUCUUAGCUUCUAGAAAUACAUGGCAGGCCCCAAGCUAUCUUCAACGUAAACAUUGCUGACAUUUUCAUUUUCUUACCUAUUCUGCACCAAUAAUGGUUCGAAUUAAAAGUAUACCUGAUGCAAACAAUAACCACCACCAGAUUUCUUCUUUCACGGGGAAACAUAUCUUUGCUGUCCUCCACAAAAGAACCCAUAACUGCUUGCUGUAUCAUGAUAGAUCGUGCAAUUACCGCUUGCCUCACAGAACCACUCAAUUGUAUUUCUUGAUUGAAACAUUGCAGAAGGUUAAUAACGAGUACAUAAACAUUUCUGCAUUUCUUGUGUGCCAAUUUCAAGUCUAGAAAUUGAGGAAAUGUCUGUAUAAUUUUUUGCUGUGACGAGCUGCCAGUGUACACAUUUAAAGCAAAAAUAACUAACAUUAUCUCCAGUGCUAAAGUCACUAUUAAUUUCUUAGCUAGAUAGGGCAUAGAUUCUGGGUGAAUAUGUAGGAUUUUCUUUUUGAUUCUGUUAUGCUAGAACUAGUUGUUGAUGCUUAUAAUUUAUGAUGCACCAUGCGGUAAGGGAUGCCAUAAAGUUAGGCCAUGUUCACUGUGUGAAAGGCGAAAAAGAAAACCUUUACUUAUGCAUGUACCCAGCUGUGAAAGUGCAGUUCAGCAGUCGCCCCAUGGAAUUGGAUCCAGCCCUAUAGAAAAAGUAAAAGCUGGAGAGCUCUAUUUUAUUUAUUUACAAUGUACUUCAAACAUCAGACCAAACAGGUGAGAUUUUAUACAUAAUAAAUACAAAAAUAGAAGCAAAUGUUAUACAAGGUGUAAUCCAGAUCGGAAGUACAUUUAAUAAGUAACAAAAGGAAUUGAAAACACGUGGCAGCUUAAUGCUGAAAGAGCACGACAUGCGUAUUUUCUAACAAGUUUCUCAGUAGGUAUGAACACAACACCUAAUACAUAACAUUUUAAUAAGAUGUGCACUUGUACAAAAUACCACUUCAUAAGGUAGCAGUAACAGUAAAAUAUAACAAACAACUCUGCGACUAGUAGUUGUUAAAUUACCAAGAUUGUUUGAGGGGCCCUGCAACGCACCAGGGAAAGCUUGUUGAGCAGCAUUGAUGGCAUCGCCUUGAUGCUGUGAAUUUGUCUGCUUUGUAGUCUGAAUGUGACGAAAGAGUUUCGCUAUGAUGAUUAGUUCAGAAUGUAAUGUGCGAUUUACCUUUGCACAAUAUUGUGGUUACUGCGAAAAAAUACCAAAUAAUAACCUAGAAUAAAUAGAUAGUUGCAGGACCCUCUUUGAAUGCGUGCUCUAACAAAAGCAAAAUGAAAAACAGUGAAUAUGCAUCUAUUUUAGAAAUGCUGAACUUGAAGCAUGUUUGAAAUUGGUUGCAGUAUCUGAUGCAAAGUUGUCACUUCACAUGGAGCUCCACUCGCUUAUGGUGCAUGCGGAAAAGAUUGCACUUUUUACAGUGUGCAGCCAAGUUGCAACUUGGCUGUGCACUGUAAAGAGUGCAAAUGCUCUCUGCAACUAGAUAGCACCAAAGUCAUUGGCACAGCAAAGAUGAAAACAGAGCGAGAAGUAUGGGAAGCACUUGCAAUAGAAAAAGGAGCGCUUAAGCACUUAAUCACGCUCAUCGAAGCUGAGGUCGAGUUUUCCAGCGCCAACAGGUGCAAACAAACUCCGCUGUUCAAGCCCACCGCAUCAUCACAUGUCAUCACUUUGUCAUAGCUUGUAUUUCACACCCCUCACCAUGUAUAUAAGAAUGCCCUUAGAUUUAGAUGCACGUUAAAGAACCCCAGGUGGUCAAAAUUUCCGGAGUCCCCCACUACGGCGUGCCUCAUAAUCAGAUCCUGGUUUUGGCACGUAAAACCCCAUAAUUUAAUUUUUUUUAAAGAAUGCCCUCUGGCGGCCUCAAGACUGCUAGAGGGGGGCAUUAGGAUUAAAUUUUCAUAAUUGCCGGCCUGUGGUCAAGUGUAAUCCAGUUGCUUGCUUCCUCUUCAGGCUUCUAGAGAUGCAGUUCAGCCACACCUCCCGUGUUCCAGUUACUUUUGUCUGCAUCAGUACAUUGCUUUGUGUGAACAUUACAAAUUAAAUGAAGUUGCUGAAAUUAAUCUGGAAAUCCAAUAUGGCCAAAUCUGCUGCAGUGCAUGUCUGAAGCUUCAGUGAGGGGCUCUUCACAGCAAAGAAGGCUGGAUACUUGUUAUUUUGCUCCUGGUACAUUCAGUUGUAUGGUGUGACUCAGCAUAUGCACACGUUUUGCUUUCCUUAUUUUUCCAUUGGUUGGCCGUCCAGGUGCUAUUCGUCCAGCACCUCUAGUCAGGCCAGGUCGGCGCCUAGCCAGGCUUGUGGGUUGCACUUUUAUUUUCCUGCCGCGCCUUCUGCUUGCCAUACAGGCAGUCUUGAGUGCAAGCAAUGCGGUACGACCAGCACUGCUUGUGGUGAUUUUUCUUAGUUCACCUACAGUGGCAUCCAAGAGGGCAGGAUAGGAUGCAUCACCUUCUGACAGUCUGUGCAGUCGUCGCAGCUCCUCCUCAAGUGCCCUGUAUUUGGGCUCGAGGUCCUGCAAGAGGUGUUAAAUAAACACCAGCUUUAUAUUUAUUACUUUGUUAACAGACAGUAAUAGAACCGUUAACAGCUUAUGUGAAUACCUGUUAUACAGUGCUGAUAAAGAUGAAUGUUGAAUGAAGCUGAGGACUGAGGAAGACACCGGUUAAAUUAGUGUUUCUCCUGCUCACUCAUUUCAACCUUGGUUCUUUGUUUAGCAGUCAUCUAUAUUUAUCAGCACAAAAUGAACCAACUAGCUCAGCAACAAGUAAUUUUCGAAAUACUUAUCAGAAGCCAACAAACAAUGACACCAAGAAUAACAUAGGGGAAAUUACUUGUACUUAUUAAUUGAAUUAAAGAAAUGAUAAAUUAAUGGAAAUGAAAACGGAUGAAAAAACAACUGUCCGCAGGUGGGGAACGAACCCACGUCUUCGCAUUACGCGUGCGAUGCUCUCACCAUUGAGAGCUACUGCGGAGCCGUUUUCCCAUGCGCUUUCUGGGGUAUUUAUGUUUUACAACUAGAACUAACCCUAGGAGUGUUAGCCAGCGUGGCUCACAAACCUAGGGGCGCAUGUGGAACAUCCUUUUUUCCGCAGGCGUCACGAGCACGUGAUCUUUUUGGGUGAUGGAUACUUGUUAUUUUGCUCCUUGUACUUGGUCUUAAUGCUGCUUUGCUCUUGGUACAUUCAGUUGUAUGCUGAUAUGCACACGUUUUGCCUUCCUUACUUUUCCAUGGCUUUCUGGGGUAUUUAUGUUUUACAACUAGAACUAACCCUGGGAGUGUUAGCCAGCGCCACCACUCACAAACCUAGGGGCGCAUGUGGAACAUCCUUUUUGCCGCAGGCGUCACGAGCACGUGAUCUUUUUGGGUGAUGGCAACUGUUCAAUAAACCCACAUAUGCUACCUGAAGGCAUCGAUGUUGCCGCAUUCGAGCCAUCGCCCAAAAGAUCACGUGCUCGUGACGUCUGCGGCAAAAAGGAUGUUCCACAUGCGCCCCUAGGUAUGCGAGUGGUGGUGCUGGCUAACACUCCCAGGGUUGGUAUAUGAUAUCUUCUGAUAUGAUUAAUAAAAAUCGGACCCCUCGGUUCCCUUCUCGUUUUGGAAUACUUGUUAUUUUGAACAUAAGGCAAUUUGAAAAAAAGUAAUAUUUUCAGAUGUGACUCAUCUUUUAUUGAAACGAGUUUUCAUGUGUCAAAGUGUACUUAGGCUUGAGUAAGAUGAAGAUAUGAGAAUUUUACCAGAUGCCUGGGAACUUGAUUCAUUACAAGAAUGUGUACAAAGUGCUGCAACAGUGGCAGAGUUUGCCCGUUGCUUAAUUAUUCUCGUAACAUGAGGGUGGCACAGAAACCUAGUGUGUGUCUGGCAAUAAUUAAAGAAACCUGAAACCCUGAAAUACCUUUGUAACAUUUUUUAACUAAUCGUAGAAAGGCCUCACUAUUAAAAUAUCUUGUCCCACAAAUCUCAUGUUGCAAAAAUUUGUUGAAUCCGUCGGCUAUAGGUGGAGGAAUUGCAUUGACAUGAGGCUUUCUUUCUCUUGUCUCCACUAAUGCACUUGAAACUUAACAGUGCAAAGAUAAAAUGAUUUUUCUUUCUUGUCGGUUGGGUUGUGGGGGUGGAGUCACCCUGUUGGCUGAAUGCGGUGGGGCCUGUUGGCUCAGGUGAUACCGUCUCUCACAACCUUCACUUCACUUCGUCAUGAAGUGAUGAAUAUAUGCAGACGUAUAUUUUUAAUUUAUUAAACUGAAAAUUCACCAUUAUGUAUUACUGAUAAUGUUCUUGCAAUCGUGAAAUCUGCCAAUAGCAUUGGUGGACCAACUACUUUCGAUGACGCCGCAUGACAACAUUGCAGAUGCGAGAGCAAGCGACUGUUCACUGGUUUUUGACACAAGAUUGUAAAUCCCCUGCUGCAUGCAGUGCAAUAACAGUUUGCUCGCAUGUUGACAGCAGCCUCAUAACAGAUCAGCAACAUUUUUUUACUAUGUUUAAAAAGUAAUUCAGGGCCCCGCACAUGUGGUAGGCGGUAAACAAGAGCAAAUAAAACACCUUUAACUUUAAGACAUUAUCCAUAAACGUGAUCUUAAUUUAUGACAGAGCAAUAAAAUUAUGUACCUGAGGCUGCUGAUGCAGGUCCAGAAUUGUUCCUUCUGACACUUCUGGUCCUAGCGCACAUCCUGCACCCUCCUGACCGGACAUUUCAGAGAUGGUAGAUGCUUGCACUUUGCAAGGAACAGGAAGAUCAUCAUCUUGCGGUGCAGCACCCAUGGGUAGAAAGAAUUCCACCGGAAGGCAGUUCGUUCCAAGGGCCAGCUGCGCCAACUGCUGGCAGUCGUGAGGGGUCAGCAGAGGACUGUUGGGAAACAAUCCACCAAACUCAUUCUGGACUAUUGCCUGGUGCUUGCAAAAAGCUCCCUGGUGACCUGCGCGGCAGCUGCAUAGCCCCAGCUGUAAUCCAUCUCCACUCAGCUUGCAGCACGUGAAAGUGACAGAGCAGCUGGCGAGCAGAAGGCCAACUUUCAUGCAGAGCAUCCUUCUCUGGGCGGGAAUUAUCAGUCAUGAAAGCUGAUGGUGCCUGCAUGUAGUGGGUCUCAUAUGGAGGAAUCUGUGCAUGUGGCCUUGGCUCUCACUCGAAGUACAGCUCACAUGAAAAAUGCGGUGCGUUGC